UACGUAGGUGGCAAGCGUUGUUCGGAAUUAUUGGGCGUAAAGGGCGCGUAGGCGGUUUGUUAAGUCGGUCGUGAAAGCCCCCGGCUCAACUGGGGAGGGUCACUCGAUACUGAUCGACUUGAAGGCAGGAGAGGGAAGCGGAAUUCCCGGUGUAGUGGUGAAAUGCGUAGAUAUCUGGAGGAACACCGGUGGCGAAGGCGGCAUCCUGGACCGGCAUUGACGCUGAGGCGCGAAAGCCAGGGGAGCAAACGGG
rnacentral:rRNA from 1 species